rnacentral:rRNA from 1 species
CCUACGGGUGGCAGCAGUGGGGAAUAUUGCACAAUGGGCGAAAGCCUGACGCAGCGACGCCGCGUGAGGGAUGAAGGUCUUCGGAUCGUAAACCUCUGUCAGCAGGGAAGAACGGUGACUGUUCUAAUCAGCAGUGAAUUGACGGUACCUGCAAAGGAAGCACCGGCUAACUCCGUGCCAGCAGCCGCGGUAAUACGGAGGGUGCGAGCGUUAAUCGGAAUUACUGGGCGUAAAGCGCUCGUAGGCGGUAUGUUAAGUCAAGUGUGAAAUCCCCGCGCUCAACGUGGGAACUGCAUUUGAAACUGGCAAACUGGAGUGUGUGAGAGGAUAGUAGAAUUCCAGGUGUAGGAGUGAAAUGCGUAGAGAUCUGGAGGAACAUCAGUGGCGAAGGCGACUAUCUGGCACAUAACUGACGCUGAGGAGCGAAAGCGUGGGUAGCAAACAGGAUUAGAUACCCGAGUAGUC